rnacentral:sRNA from 1 species
UUUUAUUCACAAAAUACAGAGAAUACAUGAAGUUCCUCACUAAGUGAUCAUUAUGCCAAAAUCAAAAUUUCAGGUACUUUUAGUGGUGUUGAGAUGUAUUGAUUUAUUUUCUGUCAACUACUGUAUAAUUAUUUUUUUUCUGUCUACCCUCAGUAAGAAGACUGUUAGAAUGCCCUUGGUAACACAGAGGCUGAGAGAUCCUGACAUAAAUCCUUGUUUGUCGGAAUCUGAUGCUUCCACCAGAUGUCUGGAUGAAAAUAACUAUGACAGGGAGAGGUGUUCCACUUACUUCUUGAGGUACAAAAACUGCCGGAGAUUCUGGAAUUCUAUCAUGAUGCAGAGAAGAAAGAACGGAGUGAAGCCAUUUAUGCCUACAGCAGCAGAAAGAGAUGAAAUCUUGAGAGCAGUGGGAAAUAUGCCCUAUUGAAUGUUUGCAUUAAAAGUGUUUAUAUAACUUAGAAGCAGAUGAAUAUUUCUAAUAAAUGCUUGCUGUAAUAUUUAGGACUGUACACCCCUCACCCAUACAGAUCUUAAGUUCUUCAAGUGGAGACAGUGAAGUCACCCCGUGUCCUUUUUGCUUGC